rnacentral:rRNA from 1 species
UACGGGGGGAGCAAGCGUUGUUCGGAUUUACUGGGCGUAAGGGCGCGUAGGCGGCGUGACAAGUCACUUGUGAAAUCUCCGGGCUUAACUCGGAACGGUCAAGUGAUACUGUCGGACUAGAGUACAGAAGGGGCAACUGGAAUUCUCGGUGUAGCGGUGAAAUGCGUAGAUAUCGAGAGGAACACCUGCGGCGAAGGCGGGUUGCUGGGCUGAUACUGACGUGAGGCGCGGAAAGCCAGGGGAGCGAACGGG